GAUCAUUCCCACAGCAUGUCACAGCUGGGAGUUUGGGCAGGGCAAUGGAAAGAGACUUUUGUCCAAACAGGAGAUUACUGAGGAGGGUUUCUGGGCUAAACCUCUGUUGUCACUGAUCAGGGCUGGGCUUGGAAGACAGGAGGUUUUUAAGAAAAAAAACAAACAUGUCUUUGAGAACAGGACUUUGGGGAUUAAGCAGUUAAUACCUCUCCAUAACCACUAUGUGCUCUGGUUUGCUGACAGCUACCACUGCCUCCUGAUGGCUGAGAAAUGGAAAGAGCUUAAAUUUCACCCUGUCUUGUAAAUUUGUGGUAGAAACUGCCUUUGUGUGACUCUCCAUACUGCAGGACCAUACUUGGGGCUCUGCUUGGUGGCAGGAAAACAGAGUUAGUGUUGUAAUGCAAAGCUGUGGUACACAAUCAGCUACUGGAAACCCCAGUACUGAUCUGAAUCUGGGCUUUCAAAUGCCACUGUGUGACUUUCUGGAGCUGCUGUCUGUCAGGCACUUAAGGAUUUAUUUGCAAUCACUUACUGGAAAUUGCACUUUGUUAAUUGUACGGGAAAAACCAAGGAGUGCAGCAAGAUUGAUUGAAAUGGUCAGGAGCCUUUCUUACCUCAGUGAUGGGCUGCACUGGGAGAAAUGCUGAGUUAUUUCUGUCUGGAGAGAGUGGCUGAAGCUUUCCUCAUUUCCCCAGUUUGCCUUGGCACCCUGCUCAUGGUUCAGCUGGACAGACUGACACUGGAGUGCCUGCCUGGGGUGAAGGAGCCUCACUGUGCAGAGUUUGAGGCUACAGAUUAUGCUCCUUGCUCGAGUUUCAUAACUUCUGCAAUGUGUUUGUGCUCACCAGGUAGUUGGAAAUGUCUUCCCUGGCUUUGGUCUGGAGAGGCAUUCAAAAUCCUGCUGCUUCUUGCUGAGUAUUCCAUGAAAGGAGAUGCCUGGCAGGGAAAUGCCUUCAGGUGGGAGACAAGUGGCUGAGUCAGGACACCCAGGGUGCCUUUGGCUUGUGCUGGAGACUGAGAGGGAGGAUAUAUUGUUUAAGGCAAGGAAUUGGGAGAUUAAGGAUCUGCUCUGCAGAGUCUCAUUAGCUUGUGAAGCUUCAGGCUAUUCCUUACCUGUUCUGUGCAGCCAGGCUUUAAACAAAAUGGAAUGAGCAAUUCACCAAAUGGAAUGAACAAUUCCUUGUGUGGCUGAGUCCAUAAGCAGGAGGAGAUGUGGAGCAGGAGGUGAUGGUGUGCUCAGAAAGGACUCCUGAAAGGAGAUGGAAUUUAUGCUGAAACACCUGGCAGCAAGCUGCCCUGCAAGCAGGGGACAGCAUGAGGACGGAGUCCAGCUGGAAUUGAUCUGCAGGGUGUGUGAGCAAUGAUCCCACCAGCCCGGCAGGAUUUGGGGUGGGAAGAGGCAAGGUUAAACCCUCUGGCUACACCUCCACAUCCAGAGAUGGAAAAGCUGCUGGUGGAUCUGCCUAGAGGUGUAGAGAGAAAUGGAGCACCAGGCUUAGAACACCUGGUAAUAAAGUGGAAUGAUUCUGUUGCAGAAGUGGAAUAAGUCUGCUCAGGUUGGAUGUGAACAAGCUAUUUAGCUCCUGCAGACCAUUAAGUAUCCUUAAAAUGUAAGUUUCCCAAUUUACAGAGAUGUUGAGGUGCUCUGGAAGUGGUUUCUGCCUUCUGAAGUGCCUCAGUUUAAAGUGAGCAGACCCUUGAAUGGCUUCUCCCUGUCUCAUACAAGGAAUUUCUUUUCCAUCUUGAAUGGGCUGUGUUUCCUGAAAGAAGAGCUUGUGAGAGUAAUGAACUCUGGAAACUGCUUAUCUGCCUUUUGAAAUAAAAAUGCUUUUGGCCUGGAAGCCAAAUGAUAUCUUGCACUUAGCAAAAAUAACUAAAACAUUCUCCAUCUCACAUGUCAUCUGCUCACAAAACUGCUCUUGGUCCACCUACAAAGCUGGAAUUGUUUACUGUGUGACUGACAGGGUUUAGUUGGUAUCAGUUUCUGGAGGGCAAUAUAGUGAAUUAAAUCUUGCAAAGUGAGCUCAGGAGUCUUUGCUUUGGAUGAGCCCAUUUUCCCCUCAUCCUGUCCAAGUGAAACAGUGCUGUUAUUUCCCUAGGAUGUAGCCUAAUAGGAUAAGGGAUCCUGUUACCCAGUGCUGGCAGUCUGUCACUGCCUUCAUCCUCCAGUGUGCUUGGAAAAGUGGAUAAUUUUGCCUGCCAGCCUGGGAACAAUUUGUCUAUCACAGUGCCAGAGAGGGAAGACCUCCAGAACCCUGUCCCACCUCGCUGUCAGUGACGUGCUGGACAGUCACCCCUCCAUGGUGACAGAGCCACUGUGACCCCCACAGGGUCACGAGCCACUGCACAGCUGCUGGAAAGAGCACUGCUGGCUUUUUCCUCAGUCAAAACCUCUUGGGUUUGCUUUUUGCCACUUGAGUUCUCCCUAGGCAGAAGUGAGAGUCUCCAGCUCGAUCUGCAUGUUGUGAGCAGCCAGGGCAGGGUCCCCUCUGGAGGCUGCAGCAAUGGGGCUGGGCUGGCCCCAGCAGCACAAGGCAGCCCUGCAGCUGUGCAUUGCUCUGCCAGCUGGAGGCUAAAGCUCCUCCAAGCCUCACUGCUCUGCCUAAUUCAUCCCUUUGGACUCUGCAUCGCUCGCACUGCUUACGGCAGCAGCCCCCUGCUCUGCAGCCCUGCUCAGCACAUCGGGGGGAAAGUGCCAUUUCUUGUUUAGAAAACACCAGCUGCACUAAAAAU